UGGAUUUUGGUUAAUUUCUGUUUGGGAUUUGGGAAAACUUCCUUCUGCAAAGUUGUAGAUAAUGGAAUUUCCUAUGGAAAGUCGCGAGUUUCGAAUUUUCUGAUAACCGAACUAUUUUUUAUGAAUUGUUGAAGUUUCGGAGAAUAAAAUGAUUUUUAUUAAUUUAUGGGUGGGACCCACUUUUUGGUUGGUGUGGAAUACACAUGUGGGCUGCUAUUUUUGUUCAAAGAUGGCUG
rnacentral:lncRNA from 1 species